CACUCCUGCGGGAGGCAGCAGUAGGGAAUCUUCCACAAUGGGUGCAAACCUGAUGGAGCAAUGCCGCGUGAGUGAAGAAGGUCUUCGGAUCGUAAAGCUCUGUUGUUAGAGAAGAACACGUGCUAGGUAACUACUAGCGCCUUGACGGUAUCUAACCAGAAAGUCACGGCUAACUACGUGCCAGCAGCCGCGGUAAUACGUAGGUGACAAGCGUUGUCCGGAUUUAUUGGGCGUAAAGGGAGCGCAGGCGGUCUGUUUAGUCUAAUGUGAAAGCCCACGGCUUAACCGUGGAACGGCAUUGGAAACUGACAGACUUGAAUGUAGAAGAGGAAAAUGGAAUUCCAAGUGUAGCGGUGGAAUGCGUAGAUAUUUGGAGGAACACCAGUGGCGAAGGCGAUUUUCUGGUCUAACAUUGACGCUGAGGCUCGAAAGCGUGGGGAGCGAACAGGAUUAGAUACCCCAGUAGUCCC
rnacentral:rRNA from 1 species